UACGUAGGGGGCCAGCGUUGUCCGGAAUCAUUGGGCGUAAAGCGCGCGUAGGCGGUCAGGUAAGUCCGGUGUGAAAGUCAUAGGCUCAACCUAUGGAUGCCGCUGGAAACUGCCUGACUUGAGUCCGGGAGGGGCGAGUGGAAUUCCUGGUGUAGCGGUGAAAUGCGCAGAUAUCAGGAGGAACACCAAUGGCGAAGGCAGCU
rnacentral:rRNA from 1 species